rnacentral:rRNA from 1 species
AUCAACUUUCGAUGGUAGGAUAGAGGCCUACCAUGGUGGUAACGGGUAACGGGGUGUUAGGGCACGACACCGGAGAGGGAGCCUGAGAAACGGCUACCACAUCCAAGGAUGGCAGCAGGCGCGCAAAUUACCCAAUCCCGACACGGGGAGGUAGUGACAAUAAAUAACAAUACGGGGUUCUUUCGGAUUUCGUAAUUGGAAUGAGUACAAUUUAAAUCUCUUAACGAGGAACAAUUGGAGGGCAAGUCUGGUGCCAGCAGCCGCGGUAAUUCCAGCUCCAAUAGCGUAUAUUAAAGUUGCUGCAGUUAAAAAGCUCGUAGUUGAAUUUCGGGACUAAUAUGUCGGUCGUGCCUCGGUACGUACUGGUUUAUUGGUUUCUCCUUUCUGAAGAACCAUGAUGUCAUUUAUUUGGUGUCGUGGGGAAUCAGGACUGUUACUUUGAAAAAAUUAGAGUGUUUAAAGCAGGCUCACGCUUGAAUACAUUAGCACGGAAUAAUAAAAUAGGACGGCAUGGUUCUAUUUUGUUGGUUUCUAGGAUCACCGUAAUGAUUAAUAGGGAUAGUUGGGGGCAUUAGUAUUCAAUUGUCAGAGGUGAAAUUCUUGGAUUUAUUGAAGACUAACUUCUGCGAAAGCAUUUGCCAAGGAUGUUUUCAUUAAUCAAGAACGAAAGUUAGGGGAUCGAAGACGAUCAGAUACCGUCGUAGUCUUAACCAUAAACUAUGCCGACUAGGGAUCGGACGAUGUUAAUUUUUUAAUGACUCGUUCGGCGCCUUACGGGAAACCAAAGUGUUUGGGUUC